rnacentral:rRNA from 1 species
GACGAACGCUGGCGGCGUGCUUAACACAUGCAAGUCGAACGGAAAGGCCCUGCUUUUGUGGGGUGCUCGAGUGGCGAACGGGUGAGUAACACGUGAGUAACCUGCCCUUGACUUUGGGAUAACUUCAGGAAACUGGGGCUAAUACCGGAUAGGAGCUCCUGCUGCAUGGUGGGGGUUGGAAAGUUUCGGCGGUUGGGGAUGGACUCGCGGCUUAUCAGCUUGUUGGUGGGGUAGUGGCUUACCAAGGCUUUGACGGGUAGCCGGCCUGAGAGGGUGACCGGCCACAUUGGGACUGAGAGACGGCCCAGACGCCUACGGGAGGCAGCAGUGGAGAAUAUUGCACAAUGGGCGGAAGCCUGAUGCAGCAACGCCGCGUGCGGGAUGACGGCCUUCGGGGUGUAAACCGCUUUCGCCUGUGACGAAGCGUGAGUGACGGUAAUGGGUAAAGAAGCACCGGCUAACUACGUG